rnacentral:lncRNA from 1 species
CUAAAGUCCUGCAUUAAACACCAUCUAGCGAAGAAGGAAUCAAAGACGAAAUGCUGCCAUCUAGCAAUAAAAAAGGAAAGGCUUACACGGAACUGACGGAACCAAAGUAAAAGUAAACACCAACAUGGCGGCGACCGGCGAGGUGUGAACCGUGAAGUGUUGGCUGUCGUUCAAUCGUUCUAUUAACUACCUGUCACUUAUUUUCCUUGCACUGAAUAACUCUCAAGUCUCAAGUUAUUUUAUAGUCUUUCAGUAACUAAGCUUAGAAAAGCGCAAGUGGAACAUGUGAUUAGCACUUAGCAGCAAGAGUUGGAAUGAAGAACAGUUCAGCAGGCCUACAAGUGAAUAAUAACAAAAAGAUGAGGAAUGUGGAUCAAAAAAAGUGUUGGAGUAAAAUGUUUGAUUUAUCAUAGAAAUUGGAUAGAAAGGAGGAGAAUAUUCCAGCCGCUGUGGUUGCUGAUCCGUUCAGAAUCCAUUCGAGUGAUUGAAAUCGGACUUGGGACUAACGACGCCUUGUGGACAGCUGGCCAUUCGUAUUGAAGUGGAGACAAUGAUGAUCCGGACGUCGAGCAGUUAAUUGGUUCCACGGGUGGAACAGCCGGAGGAUCCGAAUAAAAUCCAGGAGUUGGAAGGACUUGAGUUGAGACAGACUAACUUGUCGACUUUGACGAGAAACGCAAGGCGUUGAUCGACGAUGUUGGCGAUUUGUUUCAAGACUUGAUGUUGAGACUCGUGAAGAUCCAAGUUGGCGGGCUCGUCGACGGCAAUUCUGAAACCACCACUGAUGCAAUCAAAAAGAGAAAUUAAUUUUGAACAGGUAACUUGAUUAAAAAAAAAAUAAUCAAAAUGCCACACCAUAAUCGAUUUCUCAGAAACUCCAAUCAGCUGGGCCAUUCGGCGACGACCUUCUCGAUUGGGAAACGGAUCUCUGGUGAGCUCUGCGUCGAGUAGCUCCACCUGAACCUGGAUUAGGAGGUCUGUUUCGUUCUUUAGCGAAGGGGUUGCUCCUUUUCCGACUUUGAAAGGAUUAUUUACACUUUCGUGAAGAGAUGGUAGUAACUGAGUGACAUAAAAAUGCCUCAUUCCUUCUUAAGGCUGUAUGCAUUAACCUAAUAACUAAUCAAUUGAGUGUAUUUAGGUUUACUGAAUUUUUUGCAAGUAAAAAGUAAGUGAAAAAGAACGAACUGUGGAGAGAUUAAAUCAAUUAUUAAUCCAUUUUAAGAUUAUCCAGGCGGAAGUACUCAAUCGGCAUUGCUGUCCAGGAUCAACAGCUUAUUUGAGAAUUUAGGUAUUAACCUUGGAGUUUCUUCUCGUCUUUACCGAUAUCAGAUAAUUCAAAAUAUCCAGCCAGUUCGGCGUUUGACUUCUCAAUGGUUCCCAGCUGAAAAUGGAUUGUUAAACGAAGAGUAAUUUUAUAAGAUUUCUUUAUAAGCGAAGUGUGUAGAAGCCCACAAGGAAGGACACAAGAAAAUGUUUUAAAAAUCACUUUGAUUAUAAAGUUCGUGAGAAAAAAAGGUUUUGAGGUGAAAGAAGCAAACUCGCUUCGUUCUCACGUCCCUCACACGGUAAAAAACCAUUCGUUGCCGUAAGUUAGGACAAUAGUGACCCAACGACCCCAGUUCCUUGAAGGUGGCAGUCACGACAUUAGGUGAAUAAUUGUGAGUUGAAGAUAAGUCGUUUGGAGGUGCAACACAGUUGGAGUAAAACAUUGGAUUGGGUACAGAAGAUGAACAGAAAGGAUGGAGGAGAGUAUUUGCAGUUGUUCCAGUAAUAGGAGGAAUAGUAUUGUUGCUUUGACUGCUGUUCCGG